rnacentral:pre_miRNA from 1 species
AGGUGUUUUUCCUCAAUGACACGUUUUCUCCCGGAUUGCUGCGAGCAGGAAACGCAACCGGGAAUUUCGUGUCAGCCAAGAAUGACACCU